UGGGGAAUUUUGGACAAUGGGCGAAAGCCUGAUCCAGCAAUGCCGCGUGUGUGAAGAAGGCCUUCGGGUUGUAAAGCACUUUUGUCCGGAAAGAAAUCCUUGGCUCUAAUACAGUCGGGGGAUGACGGUACCGGAAGAAUAAGCACCGGCUAACUACGUGCCAGCAGCCGCGGUAAUACGUAGGGUGCAAGCGUUAAUCGGAAUUACUGGGCGUAAAGCGUGCGCAGGCGGUUUGCUAAGACCGAUGUGAAAUCCCCGGGCUCAACCUGGGAACUGCAUUGGUGACUGGCAGGCUAGAGUAUGGCAGAGGGGGGUAGAAUUCCACGUGUAGCAGUGAAAUGCGUAGAGAUGUGGAGGAAUACCGAUGGCGAAGGCAGCCCCCUGGGCCAAUACUGACGCUCAUGCACGAAAGCGUGGGGAACAAACAGGAUUAGAUACCCUGGUAGUCCCACGCCCUAAACGAUGUCAACUAGUUGUUGGGGAUUCAUUUCCUUAGUAACGUAGCUAACGCGUGAAGUUGACCGCCUGGGGAGUACGGUCGCAAGAUUAAAACUCAAAGGAAUUGACGGGGUCAUAGCUGUUUCC
rnacentral:rRNA from 1 species